GCGUCUUUAGCUCAGUGGUAGAGUAUACGGUUGCAAUUCGGUUGUCCCGAAGACAUUCAGAACUGAUUCCCGUCUGGUCCCUGGUUCAAUCCCGGGAAGGCGCU